CAACUCUGAGUUCUACUUUGAUCGCGCUCAGGCCAACAUCAAAUCCAACAAUCUCACCGAUCUUUCGACAGUGGCGUGUUGCUUUCCGCGGAUUUGAAAUUCAGCUAUGGGUAACCAAGAUUUGAAUUCGAACAUUGGAGCUGUGGAUUUGGGAUUGAAGGCAAAAAUGUCAAUAUUGGGGCUAAGAAGAUAAUUAAGAAGGUUUCUGGGUACUAGACAUAUGAUGAUCCAAAGCUAAAUGUAGAAGUUUAGAAGAAGAAUCAGGCUCGAUCUCGAGUCCUUGAAGCAUUAAAUGCAAAGAGGGUGAGUUGAAGUUCUUUGUUUUGAAUUUGGCUGCGUCGUUAACAAUGUCGAUUGAGCUCA